CCCGCCUGCCCUGUGACCAUGUGUUUAACGGCCGCGGUAUUUUGACCGUGCGAAGGUAGCGCAAUCACUUGUCUUUUAAAUAAAGACCUGUAUGAAUGGCACGACGAGGGCUUAACUGUCUCCUUCUCCAAGUCAAUGAAAUUGAUCUCCCCGUGCAGAAGCGGGCAUAACAACAUAAGACGAGAAGACCCUAUGGAGCUUUAGAUGAACGAGCAACUUACAUUAAGAACCUCAAACUAAAAGAAUAAACCAAGUAAGUCUUGCCCGAAUGUCUUUGGUUGGGGCGACCGCGGGGUAAAACUGAACCCCCGUGAGGAACAGGUUAAAACCUUAAAACCAAGAGCAUCAACUCUACGUUUCAAAACAUUUGGCCUUUGGACCCGGCAAAGCCGAUCAACGAACCGAGUUACCCUAGGGAUAACAGCGCAAUCCUCUUUCAGAGUCCCUAUCGACAAGGGGGUUUACGACCUCGAUGUUGGAUCAGGAUGUCCUAACGGUGCAGCCGCUGUUAAGGGUUCG
rnacentral:rRNA from 1 species